ACGGGAGGCAGCAGUGGGGGAUAUUGCACAAUGGGGGAAACCCUGAUGCAGCGACGCCGCGUGAGUGAUGAAGUAUUUCGGUAUGUAAAGCUCUAUCAGCAGGGAAGAAGAUGACGGUACCUGACUAAGAAGCACCGGCUAAAUACGUGCCAGCAGCCGCGGUAAUACGUAUGGUGCAAGCGUUAUCCAGAUUUACUGGGUGUAAAGGGAGCGUAGACGGCAUAGCAAGCCAGAUGUGAAAUGCGGGGGCUCAACCCCUGAACUGCAUUUGGAACUGUUAAGCUAGAGUAUCGGAGAGGUAAGUGGAAUUCCUAGUGUAGCGGUGAAAUGCGUAGAUAUUAGGAGGAACACCAGUGGCGAAGGCGGCCUGCUGGACGACAACUGACGCUGAGGCGCGAAAGCGUGGGGAGCAAACAGGAUUAGAUACCCUGGUA
rnacentral:rRNA from 1 species